UGAAUAUUAAUAGUUAUUUUCUUGAAACUCUAAGAAUUUGGCGGUAAUAUAUUUUUUUAGAGGAACCUGUUUUUUAAUCGAUGAACCACGAUACUUUCUACCUUU
rnacentral:rRNA from 1 species